CCUUUCCUGCUUUGGUGUCUCUCCUGCAAGGGCUGCCUCGCUGUCCCUCCUGGGAUCUGGUGAGUCCAUAGCUGUCAACUUUCAGCCUUGAAAAUAAGGGAUCAGCAGCCUCACCUAUCUACCAAUCCGGGAUAGCAGCAGGAAGCAGCGGGAAACGGCGCUGCAAUAAGGGAAUUUCCCGCAAAAAAAGGGAAGGUUGACAGCUAAGGGUGAGUCUCCUCUCUCUCCCCCCAGAGGGUGCAGCAGGGGAGGGUGCCUGGGGGGCCUGAUCUGCUCAUGUGGGGGGGGGGACCCCAAGUCAGGGAGGAGAGGGUCCUGCCAGGGAGGGGCCAGGUCUGCCACGCUCUCCUUCCUGCAGAUCAGAGGAUCCCUGACUCCCACGAAAUCUCCCUUCUUUAAACAAAGGAGUCCCUGGGACUUUAACUCUGUGUGACGUCGCUCAGCCUCAUUGCACAACCGAGGAAACAUCUGCAAAUGGUUUUCCAAAGCUGGAGGAGGAGGUGAGCACUAGCCCCCCGGAAAAAAAACAAACCACGGGGAGGGAGGAAGGAAAAGUAGGAAAGAGAGGCCAGGAAUAAAGAGAGGGAUCCCAGGCCAUAGUCUGGCUGCUGCAUUGCAAACCAGUUUGUGUUAAGCUAUCUAAUAGAAUAAUAAUAAAUCCAAAAAUCAAGGGAGAUGUCUUUGGCCCCGCCCACUUGGCCCUCAGGGGGUUGGUCAGAUACAUUCCUGGCCCUCAGAAGAGAGAAAAAGAGAUCUCACCCCACGAAUCUGUCUGGACAGCGGCAGAGAUUGCAGAAAAGGGGACAGAAGCAGGGAGUGGAGGUGGGGUGAGGGUGGGGCUGAAGAAGAAGAAGAAGAGUUUGGAUUUGAUAUCCCGCUUUAUCACUACCCUAAGGAGUCUCAAAGCGGCUAACAUUCUCCUUUCCCUUCCUCCCCCACAACAAACACUCUGUGAGGUGAGUGGGGCUGAGAGACUUCAGAGAAGUGUGACUGGCCCAAGGUCACCCAGCAGCUGCAUGUGGAGGAGCGGAGACGUGAACCCGGUUCCCCAGAUUACGGAUCUACCGCUCUUAACCACUACACCACACUGGCUCUCAACUCCCGAGGACCCCCAGGUCAGGACCCCCACUAGAGAAAAGCAUCCAUUUAUCACAAGAUACAAAUGACUCCCUUGUCAUUCGGUUCUGGCUUCAUGCAUUGACUGGAAGGAUGGAGAAACCAGGAUGAUUAAUCUGACAGAAAUCCCUUCAGUUGCCUCCACAUUCUGCAUUGCUAGAAGGCUAGAGAUUUAUUUCUUCUCCUCUUCCUCCUCCUCUUUCUUUUCAAAAAGAUAUCUCAUGGUCUGGGAUGCGGCGCACUUCAGCCCUGGUUCCCAGCAAGACUCAUCCAUACUUGCUCAGGGAACCAUUUCCCCCCCGUCCUACAAAUUCUGUAACAGAACAAUGUAUUUGCUUUGUAGGAUUUGCUGCAGCUUCUCAUUUAGACGGACAGAACUUGGCAGAAGACCAAAGGGUUCCUUCUGAUCUCUCAGAGGCUUCCUGAGAGCACAGAUGGAUGAGCAAGACUCAGCUGGCCCUGGAACAGGAAGAGGCCAUGCCAACCAAACUGGGAGCAGUGGGGGGUUUUGGGAAAACUCGGUGCAGAAGAUCCAUGGUGAGGUGGACACCCUCCGCUCAGAGGUGCAGAGCCAGCAGUUGAGGCAGUUCUGCUGCCAGGAGGCCAAAGGACCCCGAGAGGUUUGCAGCCGACUCUACCACCUUUGACCAUCAGUGGCUGAAGCCAGAAAGGCACACGAAAGCUGAGAUGCUGGACCUGGUGAUCUUGGAGCAGUUCCUGGCUGUCCUCCCCCGGAGAUGGAGAGCUGGGUGAGGGACUGUGGAGCGGAGACCAGUUCGCAGGCGGUGGCCCUGGCCGAAGGUUUCCUCCUGAGUCAGGCACAGGAGAGGAAGCAGGAACAGAGUAAACAGGUGAGAGAGACUUUCCUCUGGAUACUCCCAAGGGGUUCCAAACAGGACAGAAAACAUCCCAUAAUGGUCUGCUGAUGGCCCAUCUUUUUCUGGGAAAGAAUCGAUGGAAUGAGAUCUCGCACCCUUCAAGUCUUUGUCAUUCUCUUUCUAGUAUUUCUUCCCAUUCUCUGUUUUGAAUCCUUGUUUCUUUCUCAGGGAAAGGAUCUCUUUGCAGAAAUGGACCUGGAUUCCUGUGAGGCAGAGAGGCCUCCGUUGGACACCAGAGAGAGGCCACUGGGUAAGGAGGAAGGUGGUUUUUCUCCACUGGUCUCAUUCUCUUGGUUUUCCAACUCAUCUGAGGAUUCCUUUCAUCUUGUUUUGGGGGGAGACAGUUGGGAACAAGGGUCCAGAGGAGGGGAGAUGUAUUUCUGCACAAACAAACAUAUGAAAUGGGCAGAAACCUCCAAAUGCACUCAGCGGGUGAGGCUUUCUCAAAGGCCCAUCUGUAGUUAGAGAUGCCCUGUUUCACCUGUGAGAGAAGCAGGCACUCCUGGCGUCCUGCUUACCUUUUUUCUCUUGCAGGUGGCAGAAGGAUGCCGGCAAGACCUCCUGAUCCGCCUUUUCAUGGGGGCAGAAGGGAAGCAGCGGCUGUGGAACCAGAUCAGGUCAGGGGAAGCUGCCUUGUGGGGACAGAGGCCGAG